GUAGGUAUAGUUUAAUUAAAAACAUUAGAUUGUGGUUCUAAUAAUAAAGGUUAAAUUCCCUUUACCAACC
rnacentral:tRNA from 1 species